CCAGAGAACUUAGCAGAGAUGCUUUGGUGCCUUCGGGAACUCUGAGACAGGUGCUGCAUGGCUGCCGUCAGCUCGUGUUGUGAAAUGUUGGGUUAAGUCCCGCAACGAGCGCAACCCUUAUCCUUUGUUGCCAGCGGCUCGGCCGGGAACUCAAAGGAGACUGCCGGUGAUAAACCGGAGGAAGGUGGGGAUGACGUCAAGUCAUCAUGGCCCUUACGGCCAGGGCUACACACGUGCUACAAUGGCGCAUACAAAGAGAAGCGACCUCGCGAGAGCAAGCGGACCUCACAAAGUGCGUCGUAGUCCGGAUUGGAGUCUGCAACUCGACUCCAUGAAGUCGGAAUCGCUAGUAAUCGUAGAUCAGAAUGCUACGGUGAAUACGUUCCCGGGCCUUGUACACACCGCCCGUCACACCAUGGGAGUGGGUUGCAAAAGAAGUAGGUAGCUUAACCUUCGGGAGGGCGCUUACCACUUUGUGAUUCAUGACUGGGGUGAAGUCGUAACAAGGUAAGCGUAGCGAG
rnacentral:rRNA from 1 species